rnacentral:rRNA from 2 species
AGCUAACGCAUUAAGCACUCCGCCUGGGGAGUACGGUCGCAAGACUGAAACUCAAAGGAAUGACGGGGGCCCGCACAACGGGGAGCAUGUGGUUUAAUUGAAGCAACGGAAGAACCUUACCAGGUCUUGACAUCCUCUGACAAUCCUAGAGAUAGGAGUCCCCUUCGGGGGCAGAGUGACAGGUGGUGCAUGGUUGUCGUCAGCUCGUGUCGUGAGAUGUUGGGUUAAGUCCCGCAACGAGCGCAACCCUAUCUUAGUUGCCAGCAUUCAGUUGGGCACUCUAAGGUGACUGCCGGUGACAAACCGGAGGAAGGUGGGGAUGACGUCAAAUCAUCAUGCCCCUUAUGACCUGGGCUACACACGUGCUACAAUGGACAGAACAAAGGGCAGGAAACCGCGAGGUUAAGCCAAUCCCACAAAUCUGUUUCAGUUCGGAUCGCAGUCUGCAACUCGACUGCGGAAGCUGGAAUCGCUGAAUGAGAGAUU